UACGUAGGGUGCAAGCGUUAAUCGGAAUUACUGGGCGUAAAGCGUGCGCAGGCGGCUUUGCAAGACAGAUGUGAAAUCCCCGGGCUUAACCUGGGAACUGCAUUUGUGACUGCAUGGCUGGAGUGCGGCAGAGGGGGAUGGAAUUCCGCGUGUAGCAGUGAAAUGCGUAGAGAUGUGGAGGAAUACCGAUGGCGAAGGCAGCCUCCUGGGAUAACACUGACGCUCAUGCACGAAAGCGUGGGGAGCAAACAGG
rnacentral:rRNA from 1 species